UACGAAGGGGGCUAGCGUUGCUCGGAAUCACUGGGCGUAAAGCGCACGUAGGCGGAUCUUUAAGUCAGGGGUGAAAUCCUGGAGCUCAACUCCAGAACUGCCUUUGAUACUGGAGAUCUCGAGUCCGGAAGAGGUGAGUGGAACUCCGAGUGUAGAGGUGAAAUUCGUAGAUAUUCGCAAGAACACCAGUGGCGAAGGCGGCUGACUGGUCCGGUUCUGACGCUGAGGCGCGAAAGCGUGGGGAGCAAACAGG
rnacentral:rRNA from 1 species